UACGUAGGGUGCAAGCGUUAAUCGGAAUUACUGGGCGUAAAGCGUGCGCAGGCGGUUGUGCAAGACCGAUGUGAAAUCCCCGGGCUUAACCUGGGAACUGCAUUUGUGACUGCAUGGCUAGAGUUUGGCAGAGGGGGGUAGAAUUCCACGUGUAGCAGUGAAAUGCGUAGAUAUGUGGAGGAACACCGAUGGCGAAGGCAGCCCCCUGGGUCAAGACUGACGCUCAUGCACGAAAGCGUGGGGAGCAAACAGG
rnacentral:rRNA from 1 species